rnacentral:misc_RNA from 1 species
UUUCCGUAGGUGAACCUGCGGAAGGAUCAUUAAAGAGUAAGGGUCUUCGGGCCCGAUCUCCAACCCUUUGUUUAACUACCAUGUUGCUUUGGCGGGCCCGUCUCACGACCGCCGGAAGUUUGGCUUCGACCAAACUUCUGGCCCGUGCCCGUCAGUGGCCCCUUCAAAUUCUUGAUCAAGUAUGAUGUCUUAGUUAAAAACUUAAUAGUUAAAACUUUCAACAACAGAUCUCUUGGUUCUG